UUUUUUAUUUUUUUAGGCAAGAAAUAGAUUCAUUAAGAUAGGACACUUGUAAGAGAUGCAAGCAGGCAGGCAAGGAAGCUCUCCCCUGAGGAUCUGGUGGGCUGUAGUUUUAUCAUCCAGGGGGAAAGGGGGUUGGAAAAGCCCAUCUCUUCCUUCCUGGGAGUAGCAGCUCCUCCUUGGUGUCUGGUAAGGUGUGUAUUCAAAUCCGCAGAAGGCAGGUCCUCAGACUCCUGCCCUGGGUCUGAAUCUGAAUGCAGGCCUCAUCCCAUCCUGCACCCAACGACUUGAAGCAAUUUUCGCACUUGUGGAAAGUGUUUUAGAAGAGAAACAGGGCAUAAAGAAGGGGGCCUUAGGAGUAAGAAAGACCUAGGGACAGGUCCCAGCUCUGGCACUCACCUGUGCUGAUGCCCCUGGCAUAAGCUAGCAUUUACUGUUUGUGGGGGGCGGAGGGUGGCACAGGGCCAGAGCGAGAAGGGAGACCCAGAGUUCACGGGACGAGGUCCUUCCAGAGUCACGGCCAGGCUAACAAAGUGCUGAGUCAAAUGUUCCACUCGCCUACCUUGACAAACAUCCCUUCCUGGAAACAUCUGAAGGCCAGACGCUCAUGCAGAAUUCUUGGACUCUCCAGAAUGUUCUGGAAGUUUGGUGGAAUUACCCCCUCACUGGCAAUACCGAAGCUUGUUAAGAGUUAAUCAGGGCUGACGCCUGAACAACUUGGGUCAUUAGGCACAAAGACUCUCCACGCAGGCGAAAAUCUGCGUAUAAGUUACAGUCAGCCCCCCAGAUUUACGAGUUGCAGAUUCAACCAGUUGCAGUUCAACCAGUUGUGCAGAUUCAACCAGUUGUGGAUUGUGUAGUGCUAUCACCCUUACUAUUGCAAAAAAUCCAUGUAUAAAUGGACCUGUGCAAUUCAAACCUGUGUUUUUCAAGGGUCAAAUAUAUUCCUCUCUAGAGAAUCUAAAAAUGAAAAAAAAAGGGGGGGGGGUUCCUGUUGUGGUUCAGCAGUAACGACCAUGACUGGUACGAAUGAGGAUGCAGGUUCCAUCCCUGGCCUGGUGUUGCCAUGGGCUGCGGUGUAGGUCUCAGAUGCGGCUUGGACCUGGUGUUGCUGUGGCUUGCCAGAUCCGAGCCACAUCGGCAACCUACACCAGAGCUCAGGGCAAUACCUGAUCCUUAACCCACCGAGCAAAGGCAGGGAUUGAGCCCGCAUCCUCAUGGAUAGUAGUUGGGCUCAUUUCCGCUGAGCCACAAGGAGAAUUCCUAACUGGAGUUUUUGGAAAUAAGCACAGUGAGAGACAGACUUGUCCCCAGAAGUCUGACUGCACACUGGAUAGCAGCUCAGUAAUUUGUCAGAAUCCAGAAUCUCAAAUAUGAUAGUCCAUCUUACAUAUUCUCUUUUUUUUUGGUCAUGCCCAUGGUAUGCAGAAGUUCCGAGGCCAGGGAUCAAACCCACGCCACAGCAGCAACCUGAGCUGCUGUAGUGACAAUGCUGAUCCUUAACCUGCUGUGCCACAAAGGAACACUGUUUCCUAUACUUUAAAGCGCAAUCUUGUCAUGUGCUAACCGAAUUCAAAAGAGGCUAAUAAUAUAUAAACCAGAAGGCCAAUUCACUAAUUUCUGAUGAUACACAGACUGAUUUAUCUGCAUUGCUUUGCUUGUGCCUCUGGGAAGGCAAUCAUGCAACCUGAGUUCUCAUUCCCAGGCAUCCAUGGUCCUUGAGAGCCCAAAUGAGUAAGCAGGAGGUGGCUUGGGAAGUUGGAGCAAAGAGCAGAAGAUUUUUUUUUUUCCUUAUUAGGGCUGCACCUGCAGUAUAUGGACAUUCCCAGGCUAGGGGUCGAAUCAGAGCUGCAACUACUGGCCUACGCCACAGCCACAGUAAUGCCAGAUCUGAGCGCAUCUGUGACCUACAGCUCAGCUCAUGGCAAUGCCAGAUCCUUAACUCACUGAGCAAGGCCAGGGAUUGAACCCACAUCCUCAUGGAUACUAGUCGGAUUCUUAACCCGCUGAGCCACAGCAGGAACUCUGAGCAGUGGAUAUUUUUGAGGGCAACUCCGUUCACAUUAUGGUGAGAACUAGAGCAGGUGUCUCCUGAUCAGACUGCUACUCU
rnacentral:lncRNA from 1 species